rnacentral:rRNA from 1 species
UAGGGAAUCUUCGGCAAUGGACGAAAGUCUGACCGAGCAACGCCGCGUGAGUGAAGAAGGUUUUCGGAUCGUAAAACUCUGUUGUUAGAGAAGAACAAGGACGUUAGUAACUGAACGUCCCCUGACGGUAUCUAACCAGAAAGCCACGGCUAACUACGUGCCAGCAGCCGCGGUAAUACGUAGGUGGCAAGCGUGGUCCGGAUUUAUUGGGCGUAAAGCGGGCGCAGGCGGUUUCUUAAGUCUGAUGUGAAAGCCCCCGGCUCAACCGGGGAGGGUCAUUGGAAACUUCGAGGCUUGAGUGCACAAGAGGAGUGUCGAAUUCCAUGUGUAGCGGUGAAAUGCGUAAAUAUAUGGAGGAAUACCAGUGGAGAAGGCGGCUCUCUGGUCUGUAUCUGACGCUGUGGCUCGAAAGCGUGGCGAGCAAACAGG